GAGAUAUUAGAAAAAUUAUUUCAUAGCUUUGUCAAAGCUAAAUUAUAGGAUAUAUCCUAUAUAUCUUA
rnacentral:tRNA from 1 species